rfam:Drosophila melanogaster chromosome X.
GACUCUGGCUACGAGGCGCGUGUGUGCAAUAUCAGGUUUCCGCAUCGACUUGCAUAGUGAUUCGAGG